AGACAGGACAGAAAGUCAAAGAGAAGAAAGGGAAGGUCCUCGUUUUAAAGGGAUAAUGAACUAAUAUUUUUUUUUACACAACACAGGCCAACGACAGAGAGACGUUAGCACCCCAAAAUGUACAACGAGGGUCAGUAACAUGAACAGCGGGCGGGAUUCGUACUCAAGGAAUAUGGACGGCGGGAGCGAGCGUUGGUCCCAGCAGCCGGAGAGCUCUCAGGACUGGGGGACGCAGCUCUUCUGUUCACAGGACUCUCAGCGUCACCAGCAUAGGGCGCCUCAGCCUUUCCUCAUGAGCAGCAGCCAGGGG